ACACUCUCUCUCACCCUAUCACCAACCAGGCAGCUUUCUCUCUCUCUCUCUCUCUCACACACACACACACACACACACAUGCACACACACACACACAGACACUCUUAAAUUGACUAAUGAAGGUUGCUCCAUUUGAAUGAAGCGACUUAAGACAAACGUAGGGGUCUGGACGAAUGGUUGGGGCUCGAGACGAACAGUGAGGGCUUAGGAUAAGCUUUAGGGCCUCGGGAGUCGAGUUAUGUUUGGGUGGAUCACGGUGGUGGUGGUGAGGGGCUGCUACGACAGUUGGUAUUGGUGGUGGGCUCUUGGCUGUGAGACAAAGAAGUUUGGGGCUGGGUCUGGGCUGUGAGGUCUUGUGGAACCUAUUUGAGUUGCGACGCUCCCGUAUUUGAGCUGCGAUGCUUGCACAGACAGAGAGCUGGGAAUUUCAUGAGUGCACAGGUGCUCCAACAUUGAGUCGCAGUGCGCAUCCCCAAAAUUGAACCCAGAAAUUGACACAGGCCAUGAUGCUACACCUUAUUCGCCGUAGUGCUUCCUCGAGAUUGCUUUAACCCAUUUUUUUAGAGUUUUCCCUUCACUUCCUAACUUUCUCUCUUCACAAUUCGAACUCCCUACCUCCAAUUCACCAUUUUUUUAGGCCAAACCUUCCAAUCUCUCCAUAAAACCUCUAAUAAUCCUCCUAUAAACUUUAUUCAAUCACUUUUCCACCAUUACUUUAGCCUAAAUUACCUUUAAACCUCAUUUUUUCCAUUCAUAAACCCUAAAUUCAAAUUUCGGGGGAGAUUUUGCAAUCUUUGGGAAGCUUGAGGAAUUGAGAGUAUCUUUCAUCAUGUUUCAUUGUGGAAUUUAUGGAAAACAAUUGAUAAAUGACCGCGUUUGGCUUCAAAAAGAUGCGAUUUGGUGAAAAAAAAGGCAUUUGAGCCGCGACGCUGCGAGGACGAAUCUUGAGAAAUUGAUGGCCGCAACGCUACCUUUGAGAGUCGUGGAGCUGUUGGUUGGAGAAUUUGGGCCGCGACACAGGCAUAUUAGAGUCGCGGCGCUUGUUGAGUCAGAGAUGAGGCGGACUUCGGUUUUUGGACACAGGCCACGACGGUUCAUUAUAGGGCUGCGACGCUUGAGCGGUCAACAUGCAGAUUAGGGUAUUUUAAGCAAGGGAAAAAGUAGAAUUUCACGUUCAAAGCACAAACUACUAUGGGUUUAUACAUUUUUGGACCCUGUGUUUUGUCCCAUUACCUGUUUGGACCCUGUGUUUUGAAAAAUUACUUUUUGGACCCUAUGUUUUGUAAAAUGGUUAAAAUAGAACCCUAAACUCAAUUUUGAUAAAGAAAAAAUUGAAUAUAACAACACAGUUUUUAAGCAGAAUGAUUUUAUUUUUGUUCUGGAUUGUUAGUUUGGUAAAUUAUUUGUGAUUUUAGUUGAGAAAACAUUGCCCAAAAUCGGGUUUAGGGUUCCAUUUUAACCAUUUUACAAAACAUAGGGUCCAAAAAAUAAUUUAUCAAAACAUAGGGUCCAAACAGGUAAUGAGACAAAACACAGGGUCUAAAAAUGUAUAAACCCAGCUACUAUUUAUGCAUCAUUAUGACGAUUUCUGAAGAAAAGAAAAGCCCUAAGGAGGAGACUCAAGGAACACACUGAGUAGGCAAAAACUCGGAGAUCAACUAAUUUUAUCAUUUUUUUUCACCUUUUACUUUUACUUUCUCGUGUAGUGAUGUUGAUGGACCCAAAACGGGUAUGUUUAAAUAUUUAUAAAUCGCAAGCGCACGAAUCGUUCAUAUAGAAUAGUGAUCGUGUAAGCAAGG